rnacentral:rRNA from 1 species
GUGCCAGCCGCCGCGGUAAUACGAAGGGGGCUAGCGUUGUUCGGAAUUACUGGGCGUAAAGCGCACGUAGGCGGAUUGUUAAGUUAGGGGUGAAAUCCCGGGGCUCAACCCCGGAACUGCCUUUAAUACUGGCAAUCUCGAGUCCGAGAGAGGUGAGUGGAAUUCCGAGUGUAGAGGUGAAAUUCGUAGAUAUUCGGAGGAACACCAGUGGCGAAGGCGGCUCACUGGCUCGGUACUGACGCUGAGGUGCGAAAGCGUGGGGAGCAAACAGGAUUAGAUACCCUCGUAGUCC